rnacentral:rRNA from 1 species
UCCUACGGGGGGCAGCAGUGGGGAAUCUUAGACAAUGGGCGCAAGCCUGAUCUAGCCAUGCCGCGUGAGCGAUGAAGGCCUUAGGGUUGUAAAGCUCUUUCGUGGGGGAAGAUAAUGACUGUACCCCAAGAAGAAGCCCCGGCUCACUCCGUGCCAGCAGCCGCGGUAAUACGGAGGGGGCUAGCGUUGUUCGGAAUUACUGGGCGUAAAGCGCACGUAGGCGGACUGGAAAGUCAGGGGUGAAAUCCCGGGGCUCAACCCCGGAACUGCCUUUGAAACUCCCAGUCGUGAGUUCGAGAGAGGUGAGUGGAAUUCCGAGUGUAGAGGUGAAAUUCGUAGAUAUUCGGAGGAACACCAGUGGCGAAGGCGGCUCACUGGCUCGAUACUGACGCUGAGGUGCGAAAGCGUGGGGAGCAAACAGGAUUAGAUACCCGUGUAGUCC